CAAUAGCGUAUAUUAAAGUUGUUGCAGUUAAAAAGCUCGUAGUUGGAUCUGUGGUGUGCGGUGGGCUCCGGGCACUUGUUGUCUGAGUAGCUCGCCGCUGCCAUCCUUGGGUGGAACCUGUGUGGCAUUAGGUUGUCGUGCAGGGGAUGCCCAUCGUUUACUGUGAAAAAAUUAGAGUGUUCAAAGCAGGCUUAUGCCGUUGAAUAUAUUAGUAUGGAAUAAUGAGAUAGGACUUUUUCGCUAUUUUGUUGGUUUGCGCGAAGAGGUAAUGAUUAAUAGGGACAGUUGGGGGUAUUCGUAUUCCAUUGUCAGAGGUGAGAUUCUUGGAUUUUUGGAAGACGAACUACUGCGAAAGCAUUUACCAAGGAUGUUUUCAUUAA
rnacentral:rRNA from 1 species